GAUGAAUGCUGGCGGCGUGCCUAACACAUGCAAGUCGAGCGGCAGCGCGGGGUGCUUGCACCCUGUCGGCGAGCGGCGAACGGCUGAGUAACGCGUAGGAAUUUGCCCCAAAGUGAGGAAUAACUGCCCGAAAGGGUAGCUAAUGCCGCAUAUGGUCUUCGGAUUAAAGGAUUUAUCCGCUUUGGGAGAAGCCUGCGUUGGAUUAGGUUGUUGGUAGGGUAAUGGCCUACCAAGCCGACGAUCCAUAGCUGGUCUGAGAGGAUGAUCAGCCAGACUGGAACUGGGACACGGUCGAGACUCUUACGGGAGGCAGCAGUGAGGAAUCUUGCAAAAUGGGCGGAAGCCUGAUGGAGCAACGCCGGGUGAAGGAUGAAGGCCUUCGGGUUGUAAACUUCUUUUAUGAGUGAAGAAUAUGACGGUACCUGAUGGAUAAGCACCGGCUAACUACGUG
rnacentral:rRNA from 1 species